GACGAACGCUGGCGGCGUGCUUAACACAUGCAAGUCGAACGGUAAGGCCCUUCGGGGUACACGAGUGGCGAACGGGUGAGUAACACGUGGGUGAUCUGCCCUGCACUUCGGGAUAAGCCUGGGAAACUGGGUCUAAUACCGGAUAGGACCACUGCCUGCAUGGGUGGUGGUGGAAGGCUUUUGCGGUGUGGGAUGGGCCCGCGGCCUAUCAGCCUGUUGGUGGGGUGAUGGCCUACCAAGGCGACGACGGGUAGCCGGCCUGAGAGGGUGACCGGCCACACUGGGACUGAGAUACGGCCCAGACUCCUACGGGAGGCAGCAGUGGGGAAGAUUGCACAAUGGGCGCAAGCCUGAUGCAGCGACGCCGCGUGAGGGAUGACGGCCUUCGGGUUGUAAACCUCUUUCAGCACCGACGAAGCGCAAGUGACGGUAGGUGCAGAAGAAGGACCGGCCAACUACGUGCCAGCAGCCGCGGUAA
rnacentral:rRNA from 1 species